UCCUACGGGGGGCAGCAGUAGGGAAUUUUCGUCAAUGGGCGCAAGCCUGAACGAGCAAUGCCGCGUGAACGAGGAAGGUCUUCGGAUCGUAAAGUUCUGUUGAAGGGGAAAAAGAGCGGAGAGAGGAAAUGAACUCCGAUUGAUAUUACCCUUCGAGGAAGUCGCGGCUAACUACGUGCCAGCAGCCGCGGUAAUACGUAGGUGGCGAGCGUUAUCUGGAAUGAUUGGGCGUAAAGGGUGCGUAGGCGGCCUGCAAAGUCUGGAGUGAAAGGUACCGGCUCAACCGGUACAGGCUCUGGAAACUG
rnacentral:rRNA from 1 species